rnacentral:rRNA from 1 species
CACGUAGGCACCGAGCGUUGUCCGGAAUUAUUGGGCGUAAAGAGCUCGUAGGCGGUUUGUCGCGUCUGCUGUGAAAACUCGGGGCUUAACCCCGGGCCUGCAGUGGGUACGGGCAGACUAGAGUGCGGUAGGGGAGACUGGAAUUCCUGGUGUAGCGGUGAAAUGCGCAGAUAUCAGGAGGAACACCGGUGGCGAAGGCGGGUCUCUGGGCCGUAACUGACGCUGAGGAGCGAAAGCGUGGGGAGCGAACAGG